rnacentral:lncRNA from 10 species
GUGGCCACCAAGGGGCCGGGCCCUGCACAGCGCCCUGGGGAAGCUGGUUUGAAAGCUCUGGAGCGACCCCAAUGCCGGGUAAAGGACAAGAUUUGCCCAGACGGAAGGGAAUUUGGGGUGAAGUGGCCGUAAAAGUGUGGGACGAAACUGUUUCGGGCAGAGCGGUGGGAACUCACCUGAGGAAAGCAUGGGGGAGGAGUCACUAAUAAGAAUGAGUGGCAGGGACAGGGCGGCCUUGUAACGCCCUCGGUGUUGGAAGGGAAGACCGUACAGCGCGAUGGGGACCAGGGCGGCGGGCCGCAGCCAGGGUGUGGGUGGGCGACGGUCAAGGUGCCUUGAAGCGGAUUCUGUCCUCGGGAGCUGCGGUUCUUCCUCCUCCGCCCUCACCGGCGGGCGACCUUAGGCAGGGCGUGAAAUGCAACGGGAGCCCUGGAGGGAGGGUGAAGCCGCGCGUGCAGGAGGAACCUCCUUUUGGCGAGUUCAGGCCCCGCAGCUGCGGAGCUACUGCCUGGGGUCUAGGAAUCCAGAACAUUCCACACAUUGCCUAAGUCAACAACCUGUUGCACACACACACCUGCAACUGUUUUGCAAAAAUAUUUACGUAAUUUCGAAGCAGCUCUUCACAAAAUAUUCAUCAGUUACAGAAGGAAGUCACUUCACAGUGGAAAAAUCUGGCAGGUGCCACCUUAAUCAAGUAACCAAAAUGAACAUCAUCAGUAAUAGGACAAAUUGCAAUCGUGUGCCUCCUGAUAGUCUAGCAAGAAGAACACAGCAUCACUUCUAUGAUGCUCCUGCCAAUAAUAUAUAAUUGGAAUCUAAUCCUAAAGCAACAAAUUCAAAUUAAGGAAAAUUCUACAAAAUAAUUGGCCUGUAAUAGAAGUGUUAAAGGUCAUGAAAGUUAAGGAAAGACUGAAGAACUGUUCCAGACUGAAGAUGAAAGAGAUGUGAGAAAUAAGUGCAGUGGUGAUUCUGAACUGGAUCCUGACUUGGCAAAACUUGAAUAGGUCUGUUGGUUGGAUGGUAGAAAUAUAGUAAUGUUGAUUUCCUGAUUUUUGCUAGCUAUAUUACAAUUUUAUUGGAUUCAGUCCUUGUUUACAGAAGACACACAGUAUGUAGGGGUUAUAAGAAGUCAGCUCAGGAACUUUCAAAUCAUUUAGCAAAACAAAAGUUCUUCGUACUUUAAUUCCAAGACUUCUAUAAAUUUGAGAUUAUUUUUAAAAUACUUAAAAAAAACUCCUUUAAAGUCUCUCAACAUGCUGUCCUAUUAAUAAUAGAUUUCUAAAUUUUUUAUUUUUAUCAACGUUUUGUGUGCCCAUAGUUUGAAGUAUUAAAUUGUUUUUAUUUAUUAAGG